rnacentral:rRNA from 1 species
UACAGAGGUCUCAAGCGUUGUUCGGAUUCAUUGGGCGUAAAGGGUGCGUAGGUGGCGCCGUAAGUCGGGUGUGAAAUUUCGGAGCUUAACUCCGAAACUGCAUUCGAUACUGCGGUGCUUGAGGACUGGAGAGGAGACUGGAAUUCAUGGUGUAGCAGUGAAAUGCGCAGAUAUCAGUAAGAACACCGAUGGCGAAGGCAGUUCUCUGGGACGGUACUGACGCUGAGACGCGAAAGCGUGGGAGGCGAA